AGAUUAGACCUCAGAUCAGGCAGGAUUACCCGCUGAACUUAAGCAUAUCAAUAAGCGGAGGAAAAGAAACUAACAAGGAUUCCCCUAGUAACGGCGAGUGAAGCGGGAAGAGCUCAAAUUUGUAAUCUGGCCCUUUCAGGGUCCGAGUUGUAAUCUCGAGAAGUGUUUUCCGCGCCGGACCGCAUACAAGUCUGUUGGAAUACAGCGUCAUAGUGGUGAGAGCCCCGUAAUUGAUGUGGAUGCCCGGUGCUUUGUGAUACACUUUCGAAGAGUCGAGUUGUUUGGGAAUGCAGCUCAAAUUGGGUGGUAAAUUCCAUCUAAAGCUAAAUAUUGGCGAGAGACCGAUAGCGAACAAGUACCGUGAGGGAAAGAUGAAAAGCACUUUGGAAAGAGAGUUAACAGUACGUGAAAUUGUUGGAAGGGAAACGCUUGAAGUCAGACUUGCUAUUCGGAAUUCAGCCGCAAGGUGUACUUUUCGAUUUGCAGGCCAGCAUCAGUUUUUGGGGGUGGAAAAGGGUGGAGAGAAGGUAGCAACCUUGGUUGUGUUAUAGCUCUUUACUGGAUUCAUCUUUGGGGACUGAGGAUCGCAGUGCGCAAUUUACUUUGCAAACCUUUCGAGGUUUUCGUACUUAGGAUGCUGGUGGAAUGGCUUUAAACGACCCGUCUUGA
rnacentral:rRNA from 1 species